UCCCCCUCUCUCUCUACCGUAUAGUAUAUAUAUAUAGACAUGCCCAGAUCCAUUCAGUGAGCAACCGGUUGAAAUUUGAGAUUUAGGGCUAUCCUAUUUUCAUUGUCAUCAAAAGUUAGGGUUCUCGUUCGUGCUUCAUUCUAGUAUUCAUUUUCUGUUGACUCCUAAUUCCUAACCAUUUGAUCAGUGUAUAUUUAUAGUUUUUUCCAUUUCAAUCUAUUCCUGAAUAUUCAAGAGUUUUGAGGUAAAUUCAGUUUUAAAAUGAUAUCUAGUUUUGUGCGAAGUGAUUGUAAAAUGUCUUUUAUUUAUAUCAUAUGUAAACGAAUGUGCAAUGAUUUCUUUUUCUGGCAAUUAUUGAUAAUUAUUAUGCAUAUCUAUGUAUAAUUUCUCCUUGAAACUUUGCAGGGCUGAUAAAGUUUUAUAAUGGAGCAAUGGCUUAAUCAGGUGUUCAUAACUCAAGAAGUUUAUGUAGCACUCGCUGUUUUGUUCUUCACUUCUGUCCUCUUCUUGUUAUUUCGGUUGUUUAGGCGCACAAAAUCUAACACCAUUGUGCUGGCUGGUUUAAGUGGUAGUGGCAAAACUGUUCUCUUUUACCAGCUUCAGGAUGGCUCCUCGCACCAAGGUACUGUUACAUCAAUGGACCCAAAUGAGGGCAGUUUUGUGCUUCACUCUGAGACUUCAAAGAAGGGGAAAAUAAAGCCUGUGCAUGUAGUUGAUGUCCCAGGGCACUCUCGCCUUAGGCCCAAGCUUGAUGAAUUCUUGUCCCAAGCAGCUGGACUAGUAUUUGUUGUUGAUGCUUUGGAUUUCUUGCCAAACUGUCGAGCCGCUGCUGAGUACCUCUAUGAUAUUCUGACAAAGGCAAGUGUUGUCAACAAGAGAAUCCCGGUACUAAUUCUCUGCAACAAGACUGAUAAAGUGACAGCACACUCCAAGGAUUUCAUAAGGAAACAGCUUGAAAAGGAAAUAGACAAGCUUCGUACGUCAAGAAAUGCUGUUUCUGAAGCUGAUAUUAGCAAUGAGUUUACACUCGGAGUUUCAGGGCAGUCUUUCAUGUUUUCUCAUUGUGUUAACAAGGUCACUGUUGGGGAGUCAUCUGGCAUGACUGGUGAGAUUUCACAGGUCGAACAAUUUAUCAGGGAGCAUGUGAAAUCUUAACAACUUGGGUUAUCAGCAACUUAGUGAUUUCAGGGUUUGGUGGUUUAUUCUUGACAACAAAUUGACAAAUUCUCCAAAAAUUGUUGCUGGAUAUUGAAACCAUUGGACUAUGUUUCCCAUUUGACAAUGGGUAAAAUGAGCAGCACCCUCUAUCUGUCUCUGCUGCCUGCUGCCUGCUGCCUGCUGCCUGUCUUCUCUCUCACUGUCCCUGCAAAAUGGCUGAGUCUAGCCAUGAAAGAAACUCUCUGUGUGGGACGCGAUUAAAGGAAAUGAAGACAGCCACAGGCUAUUUUAUAUAAAGAAACUUGGGUUUUAUCCAAAACUGAGGUAUUUAUCAAGACCCCGAAAACCUUCUCUGUGAGAGCUCUAUAAACCUGAUAAAGCGAAGAAAAGGUGUCAAAACUUCACUUGAGGGAGACCCGAUUUUCAUAUAACUGGGUAAAAAGAAAACCAGGAUCCAGUCGGGCCCAAAGUCCAGAGGUCCCCAAAUCACCCAAAUGAUUUGUAGAUUAGUUGUGUCAAAUUUACAGUACUUCACCAUUAUCCCAAUUCUGUAUUAUGCUCUCACCGGAGCAUAGCAUGCUCCCAGUUCUAUAUUUUGCUCCCAUGGGAGCAUAGCCUCACGCACACUGUAACCCAAUAUGCGUGAUAUUUGGUCAAGUGCAGCACCGAAUAUGAUCAAUCCACUCAUGUACGAUCAACAAUGUGAAAUGUUCACCCAGGUUUCUUAG